rnacentral:rRNA from 1 species
AUUGAACGCUGGCGGCGUGCUUAACACAUGCAAGUCGAUCGGUAACGCGGGGGCAACCCUGGCGACGAGAGGCGGACGGGUGAGGAACGCUUGGGAAUCUGCCUAUCAGCGGGGGACAACCCGGGGAAACUCGGGCUAAUACCGCAUACGCUCUACGGAGGAAAGCCGGGGACCGCAAGGCCUGGCACUGAUAGAUGAGCCCAAGUCGGAUUAGCUAGUUGGCGGGUAACGCCCACCAAGGCGACGAUCCGUAGCUGGUCUGAGAGGACGAUCAGCCACACUGGGACUGAGACACGGCCCAGACUCCUACGGGAGGCAG